rnacentral:lncRNA from 10 species
AGAUGAUGGGUUGAUGGGUGCAGAAAACCAUCAUGGCACGUGUAUACCUAUGUAAUACGUUCUGCAAACAUAUCUGCACGUUCUGCACAUGUAUCCCAGGCUCAAGCCUGUAAUCCCAGCACUUUGGGAGGCCGAGGCAGGUGGAUCACGAGGUCAGGAGAGGAAAACCAUCCUGGCUAACACGGUGAAACCCCGUCUCUAUUAAAAAUACAAAAAAAUUAUCCAGGCGUGGUGGCGGGUGCCUAUAGUCCCAGCUACUCAGGAGGCUGAGGCAGGAGAAUGGCGUGAACCCGGGAGGAGGAGCUUGCAGUGAGCCAAGAUCAUGCCACUGCACUCCAGCCUGGGCGACGGGGCAAGACUGUCUCAAAAAAAAAAAAAGUAUAAUUUAAUAAAACGAAAAAAAUGAAACUCUAUCAGUGGCAACAGCUAUAGACUGAAUUAACCACCUAAGACCAUUUCUUCUUCCCUCCUUCUUUCCUUCUUCCCCAGACUAACUCCACCCCCAAUACCAGCCUCUCUGCAAUGACCCCCUGCCCACACAAUGAGACCUCCCACACAAGCAGCAGGGCUGUGCUUGGAUGAGAAAUCUCUCAUUUGAGUGACUUAAGGAAAUGUCUCUUACUCUUCCAGGGCAGGUCCUUCAAAGUUGCCACUUAGUUCAACUGAAGCCAGAGAGGUGGCCAGAAGAUGAGAUGCCAGCACUCUCCCUACAAAGUAUCCUGGGUCCCGUGGCCUCUCAGUUUGGGGACAUAAAACAAGGUCAUGAUUAUGUUGAUAUCCCAAUUGCAAUGACUCUGAGCAAGCCCUCCCUUCCCCAACCAGAACUGAGCCCCUCAAGGGGCCCCUAGUAAAUUCUGGGAACUGCCCCAGGAAAGCUUCACGUUGGGCACAGGCCAGGCUUCCAGCAGCACCAACCACAGGGGGCUGCCCUGAGGUGCCUCUUCCUCUGGCUUCCACUCACCCGUUAAGCAGCUUGAAAACGCCUUCAAAGGCCACCAAUCCUGAGUUCUGUACGGAGGGAGGAGAAUGGCCUUUCCCUACUCCGAGGCCGCACUUUGUCACCUGGGUCCUAAAGCAUCCCAGCUUGUGCCCAGAAUCUCACCAAGUCUGCCAUGAAAAUAAUUCCAUCCAAUUCUGAUCCUUAUCCCUGUAGAGAUGAAACCCAGGCCAAGGACAGACAGUGGAGAAGAGAUCCAUGAAACCCCUUCUUUCUUCUUCUCCCAAUUACAAAGCUUAAGUGUCGUGCAUAUAAAUAGAGACAGAGGAAGGGGACAAGAACACUUCCAAUAACCGGGUUGCAGUUCAGCCAAAAUUGCCCCUGAGGCACAUAAAUGAAAACCAGUCCAGUUAGAUAAAUCAAGGACAUCUGCCUUCUCCCUGUGGCUCUAAAUCAAUGGCAGGUAUAUACCAAGAAGAGCACAGAGUCAGCAAUGCUGCAGUCUGAAUGGCGGGGAGGGGAGAGUGGAGAGGACGAAGCCACAAAGCUUUCUUCUUUAUAAGAAAGUAUUUAUUUAUAAUACAAACAUUUUGCCUCUCCUGGAGAGCAUCACCUUUCUUCUUUUCGUUCCUUUUACCUGCUUGAAAGCACAGUUCAUUGAUUCAGGCUUUUCGCUGGGUCAGCCCACUUUCAACAGACUCUAAGGAAGAGUAGUUAACUCCUGCUCUGAGACCCUCAGGGCAACUGGGCAUAAUAGAAUCUCUCUGAGACUCCUGCAGCCCUUGGCGAAGAGUCUAUUCUAGGUAUCCAGUUCACAUUUUCUCUCAAACUAGUACUAAGUUGAAAAAAUAGCAUCAUAGAGUCUGCCACUACCUGGAGUCAGGGCUUGGCUGUCGAUUCAACACAACUACAUCUCAUCGGAUGAAAAGUCAAUUUCAAUAAUAAGAUAUCUGGGAAGGCUUCAGAAGCUAAUUUUCCCAUCCUUGGAUAAUCUGGUACUGCUGACUGACUGUUCCGGGGCGUAACCUGCCAGCCGGUGCCUUCACCAAACACAGAGCACUAGCACCCUGCCCUGGCACCCCAGCCCCGGCCCCUUUCCAACUGAGCUGCCGCACACGACUUGGGGAGCCAUCUCUGGCUGCCAUUCAGGGGAAGACAGAUGGCUGAGAAAAGAUUUUCUAGAGUUUCCUGACCAGAUUUCUCUCCUAUGUAUCAUGAAGCAAACCGUGGCUUUAAGAUUCAUCCCUGGAGCAGCAGGCAGCCACCGUCUCUGAGUCGAGUCCUGCUUGGUUGGGAAUUUAUUUCUAAACACUACGGGAUUUGGGUCAGGGCUUGCAUUUUAAGCAGCCCAUUUUCAUUUUCUGGGACAUAGGUAAGAAGAGAGGACAAGCUUAGAUUUUCACAGGUGGUAUUGUUGCCAUAAAAAGGGGUCCCAAUCCAGACCCCAAGAUAGAGUUCUUGAAUCUUGUGCAGGAAAGAACUCAGGCCGAGUCACAGGGCUUGGGAGCACAGUGAAAGAAGCAAGAUUAUUGGAAACUACUCCAUUAUGGAGUAGAGAGUCCUUGGAAAGCAGGAGGAGGAACUCGUGUCCUUCCUUUGUUAGGGUCGCUACUUUUAAGAAACUAUAAGGAGCUAUAAUUAAGCUUGAAAUGUGCAGAUGUAUGCAUUAAAGGUAGGGGCUAUUGGUGCUAUCAGUGACCACUCAUCUUUCAACCUAAGCCUGCUCAUUAACAUUAUCUUUAAGUCAAGUGGGGGGCACUCAGAACAUCUGGAUGUUCUGUGGGCUUGGUGAAAGAUGUUCUGUAUGGCCACAAAUAUUCUGCACUUAUAAGUGGUGGCCAGCUUAGAAUGUGGCUAUUUUCAAACCAUAAGUAUUAACCUUAUAGGUGCUGUGUGAGUGCCUAGUUACUCAAUUUAAGAUGGAAUCACUCUGGUCAUAUUUUAUUAAAUCAGAGGCCUGGUAAGCAGGGGCUCCUCUAACAUUAUUAAAUCAAAGAGAGAGGCAGACAAGAACAGUGAGAUCAGGCAAGAGUCUGAAAAUGGCACUGGAUGUGGGACAGAGCUGCCCCAUUGCACCACAGGGAGCUGAAGAGAAGGGCCCUGCCAUUGACUGCCACCCAGCUGUAGGCCAGGUACCCUCCUAGGCACUUUACGUAUGAUAGCUCACUUAUUCUUUGAAUCUCUGACCUUAGCUGUUUCACUGAUAAAGAAAUUUUAUCUCUUUGCUAACUAGGUGCUCUCCCUAGUGGUCACCUCUACUCAUGUGGCUUCAGUGACCCUGCGUGUGUCAGCGACUCACGAUCAAACACUGUCAUCCUUCUGAGCCCCAAAUACAUUUACACAAUUGCCCACCGAACCUCUUCAGCCUCAAGCUCAGCACUAACACCCCAUCUUCCCCACCCCCGUGACAGUCCUGGGUCCUUCUUUCUUCACCUACCAUAUCCCAUGGUCACCACAUCCAGUCAUUUUCCUGUGAAACGGCACUUGGCUCCAUCCACAGCUCACCUCCUCCCCGCCACUGCACUGGCUCAGACCACUUCACUGCCACAACUGCUUCCUCCCAUCCACUCUGGAUUGCAGCCGAAAUUCUCAGCCACCUGAUCCUGUUACCACCAGGCUCGAAACUUUACAGCUUCCCAAGUUGUCCUGGAUCUGUCAUGGGAUGUCCCCUCAUGAUCUAGCUCUGCUCCCUCGUGAAUGAGUCACCCUGUCACUUCAGUCCUGGCGUGCUGUGAUCCAUGCACUCAACAACUUUAAGCCCAGAGUGUGCUUUUUAUUUCUUUAUCCAAAUCUUUGAAGACUGUUCCCUCUGUCUGGAAUCCUCUUACUCACAAAUGUUGAUCCUCCCUUCACCCCAAGGGUUGAUCCAACCCUCACAAUGGUUGGCUGACUCCUGCUGACUCUGAUUUCAGCUGAGAUGCCUCUUUCUUAUGUGUCCCUCAUCACUCUGCUCCUACCCUUUUCACAGCAUCACACUGUCCCCCACUGGACUGUAAACUCCUUAAGGACAGAAAUAGCAUCUUUUUUUUUUUUUUUUUUUUUUUGAGAUGUAGUCUCGCUCUGCUGCCAGGCUGGAGUGCAGUGGUGCGAUCUCUGCUCACUGCAACCUCGGCCUCCCAGGUUGAAGCGAUCCUCCUGCCUCAGUCUCCCAAAUAGCUGGGACUACAGAUGUGCACCACCACGCCCAGCUAAUUUAUGUAUUUUUAGUAGGGAUGGCGUUUCACCAUGUUGGCCAGAAUGGCCUCCAUCUCUUGACCUCGUGAUUAACCCACCUUGGCCUCCAAAGUGCCGGGAUUACAGGCCUGAGCCACCGCGCCAGGCUAGAAACAACAUCUUGCUUACCAUUGAGUCCUUAGUGCCAGGCACAAGAUCUGGCACACAGCAGGUGCUCAAAACAUUUUUGUUGAGUGAGUGAAUGAGUGAACAAAUGAACUAGCAACUUGCCCCAAGAUUCUCAGCUUGUAGAUGAUGGAGCUGCAGUUGAAACCCAGUCCUGUUAGUCUCAAAGCCUGUGGCCUUUCCUUUGCACUCUGAUGACACAAGCAUCAUCAUGUGGCUUAUUUAAAGCAAGGCUGGAUGACCUCUGGAACUAAUACAGUAUCUUGGGAAUAACUGCAGUGAACUCUUGAGGGUGUUUUGAAUCUGACAUUUUGAAAUCAACUUUGAGUACUCAUCCCGCCACUUACUAUUCUGGUCUAGAAGACAGACCUCUUCCUGCUCUUUUAUCUGCAAAUUGCCUUAGGUCUUCAAGUUACCUCUUUCUUUCCCCUAAGUACAACACCUCAACUAUUGUGCAGUUUGUUUCCUGGUGCAGUCCUAGUAAUAUGCCCUGAAGAGCUAGAAAGAGACUGAACCAUUACUGUACUUUCUCAUUAAAGGAAAUUACUUGUAUUUCUGCUCUAAGGUUGCGCCAACUCAUUGUUCAUGCAAUGUGACCAACUAUAUGACAAAAUUCAAUCAGUCUAGAAAAUUUCCACAGAAGCCAAAGAAGAGCCUCCCACUCAGCAGCAAUCACUGUAAACACAAAUCACAAUAUUUGCACUUACAUGAGCCAUGGAUGGAUUACAUUAUCUACCUCUGCUUCAUUUAGAUGAUCAACGGCAUGCAGCUGGGGAAUACAGAGACACAGAAAAAGCCCUGAAAACCCUCAGAAGUGGGAUGGAUUAAUCUUUUCCUGAAGAAUCAUUGGCUCCAAUGAAGCAGGGAAUGAACACAAUGCACCAGAGCUACCCAGGGGGCCCUGGGCACCUCAGCAAGGCCUUCUCCUGGCCUAGGACCUUGGAGUGGGAUCACAUGAGAUUCCAAGAGAUUCUCACCAUGGCCCCCUCAAAGGGAGCCUCUCAUUUGUCUUUUGAAUGCUCAGCUAUUCAACUAAAAGUAUAUUAAAAAUGCCCGCUUUGGAUCUGAUUCAAAAUAAUCUAGCCAGAUGGGAGAGUUGUAGAUGAAACAGAUUGGCCAUAAGUUAAUCAUUAUUGAAUCUGAGUGAUGGCUGCAUGUGGGGAGCCAUUAUUAUAUUCUCUGUUCUUUUGCAUAUUUUUGAAAUUUCCCAUAAAUAAAAGUUUUAAAAGGUUGCAUAUGAAUAUAAUCUGGUAUAAUUUUUCUGGGGAAUAAUUUAGUAUUAUAUAUUCAAAAGUCUUUAAAAUGUGCAAAUCCUGUGACUCAGAACUUCUACUUCUAGGAAUUUACUCUUAGGAAAUAAUCAUGAAUGGGUGAAAAGAUUUAUCUACAGGGAUGUUAAUGACAGUCUUGUUUAUAAUAGGGGAAGAAAAGAAAAGUGUUCAAUAAUGAGGACUGGUCAAAUAAAUGUUGGCAUCUAUUAUGAUAGACCAUUAUGGAGCCAUUAAAAUAAUCUUGGGUCUGGUGAUGGUGAAGAGAAAUGUCAUUUCACACACUAUUGAUGGGAAUAAAUUUAAUAACUGCUUUGCAAAGUGAGUUGGUAUUAUCGAUCCUUGUUUAAAAUGCUUACUUUGGCCCAGCAAUUACAUUAUUAAGAAUUUUUCCCAUUGACAGACAAAAAUGUAUAUACUGGGAUAACUGCAGCAUUCUUUAUAGUAGGAAAAAAUGAAAACAAUAUAAAUGUUCAACAAAUAAAGAUAAGUUGAAUAAAUUGUGGUUAACCAUACAAUGGAAUACUCGAAGGCAUUGUUUGUAUGUUAUAAUAAUUAUACCUAACAUUCUUGAAAGAUGUUCUAGGCAUUGUUCUAAGUAUUUUAUACAUGCUAAUUUAUUUAAUAUACUGGUAUGAAAAUGUAUCAGUUAGCCAUUACUGUAUAACACACUGCUCUAAAAAUCAGUGGCUUACAGCAAUAAACUUUUUUUAUUGCUUGAUUGACCUUCCUCCUGACUCUCUAAGCAGCUGUGGGUUGGGUAGGCAGCUCAGCUGAUCUUGGGUAGGUUUUCUUAUGUGUUUGGUGGUCAUCUGGGGUAGGCUAGUUUAGAAUUUUUUUUGGCUGUGACACUUGGCUUCCAUAAAGACUUUCAUAUCCUAACAAACUAGCCUAGGCUUAUUCACUUGGCAGUGGUAGAAUUCCAAAAGAGAGUAGAAGCAUGCAAAACUUCUUGAUGCUUAGAGUCCAAACUGGCACACCAUCACUCUUGCUGCAUUCUGUUGGCCAAAGCAAACCCAGAUUCAAGGGAUAGCGGAAUAUUCUCCCUCUCUUGUUGAAAAGAGCUUCAAAGUGAUGUUUCAAGGAGUAUGAAAACAGGGAGGGGGAUAUAAAAAAAUUUUUGUAAUAAAUAUUCUACAUAUCUAAAAUGAACA